rnacentral:rRNA from 1 species
AAAGAAACUAACAAGGAUUCCCCUAGUAGCGGCGAGCGAAGCGGGAAGAGCUCAAAUUUAUAAUCUGGCACCUUCGGUGUCCGAGUUGUAAUCUCUAGAAAUGUUUUCCGCGUUGGACCGCACACAAGUCUGUUGGAAUACAGCGGCAUAGUGGUGAGACCCCCGUAUAUGGUGCGGACGCCCAGCGCUUUGUGAUACAUUUUCGAAGAGUCGAGUUGUUUGGGAAUGCAGCUCAAAUUGGGUGGUAAAUUCCAUCUAAAGCUAAAUAUUGGCGAGAGACCGAUAGCGAACAAGUACCGUGAGGGAAAGAUGAAAAGCACUUUGGAAAGAGAGUUAACCAGUACGUGAAAUUGUUGGAAGGGAAACGCUUGAAGUCAGACUUGCUUGCCGAGCAAUCGGUUUGCAGGCCAGCAUCAGUUUUCCGGGAUGGAUAAUGGUAGAGAGAAGGUAGCAGUUUCGGCUGUGUUAUAGCUCUCUGCUGGAUACAUCUUGGGGGACUGAGGAACGCAGUGUGCCUUUGGCGGGGGUUUCGACCUCUCACACUUAGGAUGCUGGUGGAAUGGCUUUAAACGACCCGUC